rnacentral:rRNA from 1 species
AACGAACGCUGGCGGCAUGCCUAACACAUGCAAGUCGAACGAGACCUUCGGGUCUAGUGGCGCACGGGUGCGUAACGCGUGGGAACCUGCCCUUAGGUUCGGAAUAACUCCCCGAAAGGGGUGCUAAUACCGGAUAAUGUCUUCGGACCAAAGAUUUAUCGCCUUUGGAUGGGCCCGCGUUGGAUUAGCUAGUUGGUAGGGUAAAAGCCUACCAAGGCGACGAUCCAUAGCUGGUCUGAGAGGAUGAUCAGCCACACUGGGACUGAGACACGGCACAGACUCCUACGGGAGGAAGCAGUGGGGAAUAUUGGACAAUGGGCGAAAGCCUGAUCCAGCAAUGCCGCGUGAGUGAUGAAGGCCUUAGGGUUGUAAAGCUCUUUUACCCGGGAUGAUAAUGACAGUACCGGGAGAAUAAGCUCCGGCUAACUCCGUG